CCUACGGGAGGCAGCAGUGGGGGAUAUUGCACAAUGGGGGAAACCCUGAUGCAGCGACGCCGCGUGGGUGAAGAAGCGCCUCGGCGCGUAAAGCCCUGUCAGCAGGGAAGAAAAUGACGGUACCUGACUAAUAAGCCCCGGCUAACUACGUGCCAGCAGCCGCGGUAAUACGUAGGGGGCAAGCGUUAUCCGGAUUUACUGGGCGUAAAGGGUGCGUAGGUGGGAUUGCAAGCCAGAAGUGAAAACCCGGGGCUUAACUCCGCGGAUUGCUUUUGAAACUGUCAGGCUGGAGUGCAGGAGGGGCAGGCGGAAUUCCUGGUGUAGCGGUGAAAUGCGUAGAGAUCAGGAGGAACACCGAUGGCGAAGGCGGCCUGCUGGACUGUGACUGACACUGAGGCUCGAAAGCGUGGGGAGCAAACAGGAUUAGAUACCCCGGUAGUC
rnacentral:rRNA from 1 species